UCCAGACUCCUACGGGAGGCAGCAGUGGGGAAUAUUGCACAAUGGGGGAAACCCUGAUGCAGCAACGCCGCGUGAGUGAAGAAGUAUUUCGGUAUGUAAAGCUCUAUCAGCAGGGAAGAAGAUGACGGUACCUGAUUAAGAAGCCCCGGCUAACUACGUGCCAGCAGCCGCGGUAAUACGUAGGGGGCAAGCGUUAUCCGGAUUUACUGGGUGUAAAGGGAGCGUAGACGGCCGUGCAAGCCAGGAGUGAAAGCCCGGGGCCCAACCCCGGGACUGCUCUUGGAACUGUGCGGCUGGAGUGCGGGAGGGGCAGGCGGAAUUCCUGGGGUAGCGGGGAAAUGCGUAGAUAUCAGGAGGGACACCGGCGGCGAAGGCGGCCUGCUGGACCGCGACUGACGUUGAGGCUCGAAAGCGUGGGGAGCGAACAGGAUUAGAUACCCCAGUA
rnacentral:rRNA from 1 species